rfam:Brachypodium distachyon strain Bd21 chromosome 3, whole genome shotgun sequence.
GGCUGUUGCGAUGAGGACAACAAGCUCCCUCUUCUGAAAGCAUUGAGGAUACUGCUGGCAGAAUCGAACCAAAUACCUUGUUGUCACCACUGAGUAA